UACGAAGGGGACUAGCGUUGUUCGGAAUCACUGGGCUUAAAGCGCGCGUAGGCGGAUGUUUAAGUGUCUUGUGAAAUCCCACGGCUCAACCGUGGAACUGCUGGGCAUACUGGACAUCUCGAGGCACUCAGGGGCGAGCGGAACAAGUGGUGGAGCGGUGAAAUGCGUAGAUAUCACUUGGAACGCCAAUGGUGAAGACAGCUCGCUGGGGGUGUCCUGACGCUGAGGCGCGAAAGCCAGGGGAGCGAACGGG
rnacentral:rRNA from 1 species